ACUAAUGUAAAAAAAAGAAAAUAUAUUUAUUAAUGUUCUUAAGCAAAGUAAAGUAAUGAAAACCAAACAUUUAAGUCAAUCAUUUAGAAACAAAACAUGAUAUGUAAAGACUGAAAACAGCUUACAUAAUAUUGUGCCAUUACAUGUAUAUUCAGCGUUUUAAUGUUGUCACAGACCACUUUCUAUUGUUUUAACUAGUAAAUCCACCUGAUAAUAUUAGUAAUGAUAUUAACAGAGGGAAUUCUUCAGGGUUAGGGGUAGGAAUAGAGGUAGGAAGAAAAAUAAGGUAUGGGGUAGGAAUAGAGGUAUGGUUAGGGGUAGGAAUAGAGGUAGGGUUAGGGGUAGGGAUAGAGGUACGGCUAGGGGUAGGGAUAGAGGUAGGGUUAGGGAUAGGGAUAGAGGUACGGCUAGGGGUAGGGAUAGAUGUAGGGUUAGGGGUAGGAAUAGAGGUAGGGUUAGGGGUAGGGAUAGAGGUAGGGUUAGGGGUAGAGAUAGAGGUACGGUUAGUAGGGAUAGAGGUACGGUUAGGGGUAGGAAUAGAGGUAGGGUUAGGGGUAGGGAUAGAGGUAGGGUUAGGGGUAGGAAUAGAGGUAGGGUUAGGGGUAGGGGUAGGGAUAGGGGUAGGGGUAGGGGUAGGGAUAGGGUUAGGGGUAGGAAUAGAGGUACGGUUAGGGGUAGGGAUAGAGGUAGGGUUAGAGGUAGGACUAGAGAAAAGGUUAUGGGUUGGAAAAGAGAUAAGGUUAGGAGUAGGAAAAGAGGUAGGGUUAGGGGUAGGUAUAAAGAUAAGGUUAGGGGUAGGUAUAAAGAUAAGGUUAGGGGUAGGAAUAGAGGUAAGGAUAGGGGUAGGAAUAGAGGUAGAGUUAGGGGUAGGAAAAGAGACAGGGUUAAG